ensembl:lncRNA
GAGUUGGAUUCAUCAAGGGUGAGUGUCACCCUUCAGAUGCUUUUGGCCUUCAAUUCACCCCAGCUCAAAACAGCUUUAAGCAAUGGUAGAGAAUGACGGAGACUGCCUUCCAUGAAACAUCUUAGCUACAGUUGUCCCCUAGACAAUUUUAAGCCAUUUGUAUAUAGAGAGCAAAAGAAUGAAAAUAUGUUCCUUCUAACCCAGUGUUUCCAAAUCUUGGGUCCCCAGAUGUCUUGGGACUAAAACUCCCAGAAACCCUCACCAUUAGAUGUGCCGACCAGGAUUUCUGGGCGUCGUAAUCCAAGAACAUCUGGGGACCCAAAGUUGAGAACCACAUUUCUAGACAUAGGUAUGGGGUUUAGGACGAACACCUCAUGGGACGAAAAACCCGCAAGACGAAUGGUUUUUGAGAUUGCUGUGGUGCCUCGCAAGAUGGCUUCUUCUAUGGCCGUACUUCACAAGACGAAUGUGGGUUUUUUUUGCAAGACCGAUGCCUUGCAAGACGAAUGAAUUAUUUUUGUCUUGUGAGGUUCCCAUAGGAAUGCAUUGCAAUGCAUUCCUAUGGCAAACCGCUUUUCGCAAGGUGAAAAUUUCGCAAGACAGCGCUACUCGCGGAACGAAUUACUGUCGUCUUGCGAGGCACCACUGUAUUUACUUUUUCCUGCUGCCAUUUCAACCUUUUAAAAACAGAAAUGGAGGCCUUAUCAAGGCAUUCUGAAUCAUGUUCAGUUCAAACCAGAGGAAGAAAGGAUGCUUAGACUCAACCUUUGUCUCAACAUCACUUUGCUUGCUUAAAAAGGGAUGGAUCCGAAUGAAAUUGCUUCUUCUAUCCACUGGCCAGUGGCAGCUGGUGCCCAUUGUGGUUGGUGGGGUGGAAGGCGCAGCAGACAAUGUUGGGCGAAGCCAGAAGGCGAGUUCUGAAAGCCAUACUCCUUUUUGGUUCCUUUUCCAUGAUAAGAUCUCCAAGCACUAAGUGAUGGCCAGCUUCCCCCAUGAAAAGUCACAGUCACUCCGCCUUCUUGUUUUGCAGCAAGCGACCAGAAAGUUCCACCUGAGAACCAACAGCAUUAUUUAUCACGCCAGUUUCCAAAUGGUGACAAGAUGGAACCCUAUGACCCCUCUUGGGGAAAUCCCCGCUGGUCGUCGGGUGAUUCAGACAUCUAUGCCAUUACCUACGAGAAACAUCUUUUCAAGUACGGGCAUCCAACCACUUUGCCCAUCAGUACCAUGGACAGCAGCUCCCCCCUUCCGGCUGUGCACCGUGGCCCCAGGAAUGUACGCAGUGCUACCCAGGUGUGAUGCCAGGAAGACCCAAUGAGGGACUUUGACUUGAACCAAGCUCGUUGCCAAGAUGUGGCCACCAAUAAGGGACCUGGCCAUCCAAAGAUAAAACCAGGCCUUCUUCUCGUGGUGCGUUUUUUUUUUCCAACAAGGAACGAAUUGUUGGGCAUCAGACCCAAGCUUCUGAAAUUAGAACCUUGUUUUCCUGGAAUAACAAAAGUAUGAAACCAGGAAACUGGGCCUAUGAGAUGUGGACUCAAUAUUUGUUGCAGUGACCCAGCCUAGUCAGGGAAGAGUUACAGAGACUCAGUAUCAAAGAGGAUUCAUUUUAUAGAUCCUGGAUAUAAAGAAUUACUUCUGGCAUUGUGGGCUGUGCUUUGUGGCCACGCUUAAAAGGAUCUCUUGAAAUGGUGCCCUUGACUUGACUUGUUGGCAUGAAACAAAAGGGUUUUCUGCUUCAUAGAUAAUAUGUGGACAAAGAACCCUAAGCUUGCCUUCUAGAAGGGGAUGCUGUGAAUAAGAGCGCCGAUGAUAUAUGGAAAAACUUUGGCUUAGGAAGCAGCUGGAGCGGUGACCUCACUGGGGAGGUAUCACACCCCAUUUCUAGAGCCUUGAAAACUAUCAGGAAUGACCUCCUAUUUUUGGGCAUGACUGAAAAUGGUGGCACUUCCUCCUUGAAUCUGGGAGAGGGUUUGAAGAAGGUAUUAUUUUGUCUUUGAGGUGGCAAGGAGAAAGCAGAGGUGGAAGGGGCCUCGUGGAUCAUCCAGUCCAGCCCCUGUCAAGGAGGCAUAGUGGGGAAUUGAACUCCCAACCUCUGAUUCUGAAGCCACAUAUCUAAACCACAGAGCUAACCAGCAGUUCUCUCCACUCGUUUCAUCCUUUUCCUGUGAGUAAGAGCAACCACAAAAUUAUUCUCCUCUCCCCCACGAGGGCAAGAUAUUUACCAGUGUUCUUCACAAGAGAAGAGGUGAGAAUCUUGGAAGUGACCCUUUCAUGCACAUUGCACAAAAUAAUGAUGGCCAAUAGCUUUGUUACAUCAAAAUUUAAGGUUUAGAAGUCUCACCAGUGUUAUUUGUAUCUUUUAAAAUAAAAUAAUAAUAAUGAUCA